UGAGUUUGCUUGGUCUUAGCCCUGCUUCUGAUUUUGUUUUCAGGGUGGACUUGGUUGUAUCUUGUCAAUGACUUCUUUCCAGCCCGGUCUCAUGGAUGUACCUUAGAUUCCUGCUUUUGUUAUGCCUCUAGGCAGAGCUGCCUACACCGGAGGAAUUUCCAUCAAAGAGGGAGCAAGGGAUAAAGACCAUCCUUGCUGUCUGCAGUGAGGAAGAGAUGUAUUCAGCAGUAUUCAUCACAGAAGAUGAACAGAAGGAAAUCAUGGAACUACCUGUGGCUUUCUCACCUCUCAGAGAUGGUCAGGUGGCAGUGCUGAAGGGAACACCUCAAACUGUAGCAGAAAAACAAACAAACAAAACAAAACAAAACAAAACAAAACAAAAAAAAAAAAAAAAAAAAAAAAAAAAAAACAACGAGAA